CCGAGUAGCUGGGACUACAGGCGCCCGCGACUACGCCCGGCUAAUUUUUUGUAUUUUUAGUAGAGACGGGGUUUCACCGUGUUAGCCAGGAUGGUCUUCGUCUCCUGACCUCGUGAUCCGCCCGCCUCGGUCCCCUAAAGUGCUGGGAUUACAGGCAUACACUCUUAAGUAACCUGGUGGGGACCCAUCAAACUACAAAGGGUUAUAGCUACUCUUACAGAAGACAUAAGAAGAUAUAUACGCAGAGAAGACAUCAUAAGACCUGAAGAUGAAAAACUUCUGAUCACAGAAGAAAGAUAUACAACAGCCUUGAAGCAUUCUGAGAACCCAGUGAAGGCAAUAAUGUCUCUUCCCAGAGAAAUUCACAGAAUUAUGCAAACUUGGCUCAAUUGUCUUCUGGCAUAAUUGGUGCUACAGAGAACAUUGAGGAGCAAGACACAGAAGACAUGGAGAUCCAUGUAGAAUCAUAAGAAGGUAAAGAAGAAGGAAAAAAUGUAGCCCCUAGAAGCUUGGAACUGCCCUCAGACUACAGCCAGGAAGCAGACAGGGACUUCAGUUCCACAGCCACAAGGAGCUGAAUUCUGCCAACCAGAAUGAGCAAGAACAUGGAUUCUCCCCUCAAGCCUCCAGAAAAGAAUGCAGCCUACAGUCAGCACUUUAAGUCCCAUGCAACCUAUAAUAGAUUUCUGACCUACAGAGCUUUAAUGUCAUAAAUUGGUGUUGUUUUAAGUCAUGAAGUUUGUGGUAGCUUCUUAUGACAGUAAUUGAAAACUAAUACCUGGUCUUUUUAGCAGAAUAACGAGCACCCUGUAAUGUGUCAUUCAUGCAUAUCUUUUUUUUUUUUUUUUUUUUGGUGGGGGCAGGAAGACAAAACUCUAGAGUUUAAUCUUCCAGCUGACUGACUUGGAAGUGUUCCUGUCAAUAUAAAAGAUCUUGUUGGGGG
rnacentral:lncRNA from 1 species